rnacentral:rRNA from 1 species
GACGAACGCUGGCGGCGUGCUUAACACAUGCAAGUCGAACGGAAAGGCCCUGCUUUUGUGGGGUGCUCGAGUGGCGAACGGGUGAGUAACACGUGAGUAACCUGCCCUUGACUUUGGGAUAACUUCAGGAAACUGGGGCUAAUACCGGAUAGGAGCUCCUGCUGCAUGGUGGGGGUUGGAAAGUUUCGGCGGUUGGGGAUGGACUCGCGGCUUAUCAGCUUGUUGGUGGGGUAGUGGCUUACCAAGGCUUUGACGGGUAGCCGGCCUGAGAGGGUGACCGGCCACAUUGGGACUGAGAUACGGCCCAGACUCCUACGGGAGGCAGCAGUGGGGAAUAUUGCACAAUGGGCGGAAGCCUGAUGCAGCAACGCCGCGUGCGGGAUGACGGCCUUCGGGUUGUAAACCGCUUUCGCCUGUGACGAAGCGUGAGUGACGGUAAUGGGUAAAGAAGCACCGGCUAACUACGUGCCAGCAGCCGCGGUGAUACGUAGGGUGCGAGCGUUGUCCGGAUUUAUUGGGCGUAAAGGGCUCGUAGGUGGUUGAUCGCGUCGGAAGUGUAAUCUUGGGGCUUAACCCUGAGCGUGCUUUCGAUACGGGUUGACUUGAGGAAGGUAGGGGGGAAUGGAAUUCCUGGUGGAGCGGUGGAAUGCGCAGAUAUCAGGAGGAACACCAGUGGCGAAGGCGGUUCUCUGGGCCUUUCCUGACGCUGAGGAGCGAAAGCGUGGGGAGCGAACAGGCUUAGAUACCCUGGUAGUCCACGCUGUAAACGGUGGGUACUAGGUGUGGGGUCCAUUCCACGGGUUCCGUGCCGUAGCUAACGCUUUAAGUACCCCGCCUGGGGAGUACGGCCGCAAGGCUAAAACUCAAAGGAAUUGACGGGGCCCCGCACAAGCGGCGGAGCAUGCGGAUUAAUUCGAUGCAACGCGUAGAACCUUACCUGGGUUUGACAUGGAUCGGGAGUGCUCAGAGAUGGGUGUGCCUCUUUUGGGGUCGGUUCACAGGUGGUGCAUGGCUGUCGUCAGCUCGUGUCGUGAGAUGUUGGGUUAAGUCCCGCAACGAGCGCAACCCUUGUUCACUGUUGCCAGCACGUUAUGGUGGGGACUCAGUGGAGACCGCCGGGGUCAACUCGGAGGAAGGUGGGGAUGACGUCAAGUCAUCAUGCCCCUUAUGUCCAGGGCUUCACGCAUGCUACAAUGGCUGGUACAGAGAGUGGCGAGCCUGUGAGGGUGAGCGAAUCUCGGAAAGCCGGUCUCAGUUCGGAUUGGGGUCUGCAACUCGACCUCAUGAAGUCGGAGUCGCUAGUAAUCGCAGAUCAGCAACGCUGCGGAAAUACGUUCCCGGG